GGGAAAGUAGUUAAAAAAAUAACAUGAAAUUGUCAAUUUCAAGUAUGCUAUAAUGUAGCCUUUCCUU
rnacentral:tRNA from 1 species